AUACUAGGGAAGGCAUCGAGCUUGAGGAAGAGGCCCCAUUCAUCUCCGUACCCCAGGCCCUGGUACACAGCAGGCAGCUCCAGGCGGGCACGCAUCUUUGUUGUGUUCUCUGCUGACUAUAUCCUCAGCACCUAGAACUGUGUCUGUCACCUAAUAGAUGCUCACAAGAAUGCGGUGUGUCAGGAGAAGCAAAUCCCAAAUGAGAUAAACCUGCCAGUAAUUUCAGCAAAUGAAACGUGGAACACGUCAAGGCCAGAGGAUGGAAAAGGCUCCAGUUUUGAUAAAAGGAGGCCUGCUUGGCUUGGAAUCCUCUCUCCUGCUGGUUGGGAGAUGCAAAGAUGUUUCCAGAGAGGGGCUGAUGAAUUGAGGGGAAAGAAAUGAGCCCAGUAUGAGUCCCCUUUCAGGGCUGAGCGUGUAUAAAACCAAACAACUUGGAACCGCUCCAAGAGAGGGGAUUAAAGCAACAUGUUAUUC
ensembl:lncRNA MIR193BHG MIR193b-365a host gene